rnacentral:rRNA from 1 species
AUUGAACGCUGGCGGCAGGCCUAACACAUGCAAGUAGAACGAGUGGCGGACGGGUGAGUAAUGUCUGGGAAACUGCCCGAUGGAGGGGGAUAACUACUGGAAACGGUAGCUAAUACCGCAUACCAUCGGAUGUGCCCAGAUGGGAUUAGCGAGUAGGUGGGGUAACGGCGCACCUAGGCGACGAUCCCUAGCUGGUCUGAGAGGAUUACCAGCCACACUGGAACUGGGACACGGUCCAGACUCCUACGGGAGGCAGCAGUGGGGAAUAUUGCACAAUGGGCGCAAGCCUGAUGCAGCCAUGCCGCGUGUAUGAAGAGGGCCUUCGGGUGUUAAAGUACUUUCAGCGAGGAGGCGUUACUCGCAGAAGAAGCACCGGCUAACUCCGUGCCAGCAGCCGCGGUAAUAC